AUGGUUGUUAAGUGAAUCUGGCUUCCCCAUUGACUUUGCUUGCCAGAAGGUCCCAAAAAGAGUUCACAUGACCUUGUGACACUUCAACCAUCAUAAAUGCAUCCCAGUUGCCAAGAAUCUGAAUU